rnacentral:sRNA from 1 species
CGGCGGUGCGGGACGCGCGGGCGACGGGCCAGCGGGAUGGGAGCAGGGUCCCCCGGCGGCCCGCAGCCUCUGGAGCCGCGCUGAAGCCGGGGGCGGGACCAGCGCGGAGCCGACAUGUGUCUGCGCCUCGGAGGCCUGAGUGUGGGCGACUUCCGGAAGUUGCUGAUGAAGACAGGCCUGGUGCUGGUGGUGCUGGGCCAUGUGAGCUUCAUCACAGCUGCCCUGUUCCAUGGCACAGUGCUGCGCUACGUGGGCAGCCCCCAAGAUGCGGUGGCUCUGCAGUACUGCGUGGUCAACAUCCUCUCUGUCACUUCCGCCAUCGUGGUCAUCACCUCAGGCAUCGCAGCCAUCGUGUUGUCACGCUACCUCCCCAGCACCCCCCUGGGCAAGGCGCUGCUGGCUGCCUGCACUUUUGGGAGCUCUGAACUACUGGCCCUCGCACCUGACUGUCCCUUCGACCCCACACGCAUUUAUAGCUCCAGCCUGUGCCUCUGGGGCAUCGCCCUAGUGCUCUGCGUGGCGGAGAACGUCUUUGCUCUGCGCUGCGCUCAGCUCACCCACCAGCUGCUGGAGCUGAGGCCCUGGUGGGGGAAAAGCAGCCACCACAUGAUGCGGGAGAACCCAGAGCUGGUGGAGGGCCGUGACCUGCUGAGCUGCACCAGCUCUGAGCCUCUGACCCUCUGAGAGAUGAUAUCCUGCCCAGGCCCCAUGGCCACCAGGACCCUGUAAGCAGCUCUGCUCUGUGACC